rnacentral:lncRNA from 1 species
GUGGCGGUGGUGCGGGGUGAGGGGACGCUCCCGGGGGGGUCAUGCUGGGGCUGGGGGUUGGUUAUAGAGAACUGGGGAAGGGCUGGGGGCUUGUACUGGGGGUUGGGGGUCAGGGUACAGGGGGCUGGGGGUUAAGGUAGAGGAGGCUAGGGGGAGGUGGGGAUUGGGGGGUCACAUUGUGGGCUGGGGGUCAGGGCAUGGAGGGCUGAGGUGGGCACUGAGGGGCAGCGAGGUGCCACGGGGGUGCAGGUGCUGAGGCACAGAGGAGAAUGCAGGGCCUGGGAGGCGGGCAGGGGCCAGGCCGCGGGGGUGGCACGAAGCAGCUUCUCCCUGAGCCUCGUGUGUCACAGGAUCUGCGCUGGGGGUCGCCUCCGGAGGAGCCACAGCCCUGCAGGCCUGAGUUGUGAGCAAAGGUCGCCGAGUCUGCGUGGGACGUCCGUGUCCCUCAGGUGUUCCUGCUCGCCACGGAGACUGCUGAGUCUGCGCCCUGCCCCAGGCCGAGAGCUGCCUGAUGGGGUCAGACUGCAGGUGGCUGAACUGAAGGUCUCUGCGUGACGGUGGGAGUGCUGCCCUUGCGGUUCCCUGUGGUUAUAUCUGCGUGGUCUCUAGGUUAUAGAAGGUAAUUUUGUCUAAGUAGAUGGUAAACAUUAAUAAAAUCCAGUUCUUCAAGCUGACUGUGUUUAAU